AGUCAUACGCUCGUCUCAAAGAUUAAGCCAUGCAUGUGUAAGUAUAAAUAGUUAACUUUGAAACUGCGAAUGGCUCAUUAUAUCAGUUAUAGUUUAUUUGAUGAAGAAUACUAAUUGGAUAACCGUAGUAAUUCUAGAGCUAAUACAUGUAUAAAGUCUUGUAGACUGCAUUUAUUAGAAUGAAAACCAUAGGUUUCGGCCUAUUCGUGAGUAAUAAUAACUAAUCAUAUCGUAUGCUUAUGUAACGAUGUGUCUUUCAAGUUUCUGCCCUAUCAGCCUUCGAUGGUAGUGUAUUGGACUACCAUGGCAGUAACGGGUAACGAAGAAUUUGGGUUCGAUUUCGGAGAGGGAGCCUGAGAGAUGGCUACCACAUCCAAGGAAGGCAGCAGGCGCGUAAAUCACCCAAUCCUGACACAGGGAGGUAGUGACAAUAAAUCACAAUGCGGAACAAUGUUUUGCAAUUGGAUUGAGAACAACGUACAAACCUUAUCGAUAAACAAUUGGAGGGCAAGUCUGGUGCCAGCAGCCGCGGUAAUUCCAGCUCCAAUAGCGUAUAUUAA
rnacentral:rRNA from 1 species